AUUGAACGCUGGCGGCAGGCUUAACACAUGCAAGUAGAGCGAGCGGCGGACGGGUGAGUAAUGUCUGGGAAACUGCCUGAUGGAGGGGGAUAACUACUGAACACGGUAGCUAAUACCGCAUACCAUCAGAUGUGCCCAGAUGGGAUGAGCUAGUAGGUGGGGUAAUGGCUCACCUAGGCGACGAUCCCUAGCUGGGAUGAGAGGAUGACCAGCCAACCGGUACCGUGGACACGUUCCAGCCUCCUACGUGAGCCCGCAGUGGGGAAUAUUGCACAAUGGGCGCAAGCCUGAUGCAGCCAUGCCGCGUGUGUGAAGAGGGCCUUCGGGUUGUAAAGCACUUUCAGCGAGGAGGCGUUACUCGCAGAAGAUGCACCGGCUGACUCCGUGCCAGCCGCCGCGGUAAUAC
rnacentral:rRNA from 1 species